rnacentral:rRNA from 1 species
GACGAACGCUGGCGGCGUGCUUAACACAUGCAAGUCGAACGGAAAGGCCCUGCUUUUGUGGGGUGCUCGAGUGGCGAACGGGUGAGUAACACGUGAGUAACCUGCCCUUGACUUUGGGAUAACUUCAGGAAACUGGGGCUAAUACCGGAUAGGAGCUCCUGCUGCAUGGUGGGGGUUGGAAAGUUUCGGCGGUUGGGGAUGGACUCGCGGCUUAUCAGCUUGUUGGUGGGGUAGUGGCUUACCAAGGCUUUGACGGGUAGCCGGCCUGAGAGGGUGACCGGCACAAUGGGAAUGGGGUACCGGCCAAGCUCCUUAGGGGGGGAGGAGGUGGGAAUAAUUGAAAAAGGGGCGGAGGCUGAAGCAGGCACGGCGGCUGCCGGGAUAACGGCUUUGGGGUUGAAACCGGCUUUGGCCGGGGACGAGGGGUAAUGGCGGGUAAUGGGAAAGGAAGAACGGGCAACUUAGGU